rnacentral:rRNA from 1 species
GUGAGGAAUAUUGCGCAAUGGAGGCAACUCUGACGCAGCCAUGCCGCGUGCAGGAAGAAGGCGCUACGCGUUGUAAACUGCUUUUAACCGGGAAGAAACCCCAGGACGUGUCCUGGGUUGACGGUACCGGAGGAAUAAGCACCGGCUAACUUCGUGCCAGCAGCCGCGGUAAUACGAAGGGUGCAAGCGUUAUCCGGAUUCAUUGGGUUUAAAGGGUGCGUAGGCGGAGCGUUAAGUCAGUGGUGAAAUCCUGCAGCUUAACUGUAGACUUGCCAGUGAUACUGGCGCUCUUGAGUGCGCUUGAAGUGGGCGGAAUGUGCCGUGUAGCGGUGAAAUGCUUAGAUAUGGCACAGAACACCAAUUGCGAAGGCAGCUCACUAAGGCGAUACUGACGCUGAGGCACGAAAGCGUGGGGAUCGAACAGGAUUAGAAACCCUUGUAGUCC